CACUUUAAUAAAUAAUACAGCAGAGAGAAACAAACACAGUGAAGAUUUGAUCCAGACAGCUAAGGCGAUCGCUUUCCACACAAAGAGUGUGAGACGGUAGGAGGAAGAUAAAAGAUAAGACAUUUUUUAAACAAAAAUGUGUUGUCUCCCAAUAGACCAGACUUUGCCUCCAGCAGGCUACUCUAUUAGCGCCCAGGGAUCAGAGCCCUGCUCCGGGGCACAGACGCUUGCUUCACGUCUGAGAUGGAUUGGAGAUCAGUUCGAAAAAGGCAAGGCAGUUGGGGACCGGGGCUCUAGUAAGAGCGCUCCGAGAAACAGAAAAGUCUUGAUUCAAGGCUUUUACACCGUAUGCACAGCGAUACAGAUCACCGCCUUUCUGCUGCUUGUUAGAAGGCGACACCUGUAGGCGCAAUUUCCUUUGCAACAGCAAAACCAGCAACAGAUGGUGCCUUCAGGACCCUGGUCAAGGAGGGAGAAUGGACAGCUCUAACAAUAUUUGCACUGAGGAAACUUAUGCCAGCCGAUUUUAGAGCGAAGUCACUCGGAAAUCUGACAAGUGUCCACCUUUCACGGGCGUAUUUUUCAUGCCAUCAGAUCCGCAGGACCGGUCAAUAUUAUUGGAGGCACUGACCCGUCAGAUUGACUCUAAUCUACACCUGUCAAACUUGAGUUGCCUUCAGAUGACUGUUUAAUAUCAUUGUCAUCGUAAUAAUCAGCUACUGGUGUGCGUUCUACAUCUCAUUUACAAUAGACACAGUUAUAACGGUAGCCUGCAAAAAAACGUUGAGUCGAUAAGUCGAUAAGUGAUUUCAUUGAUACAUACCAUAUGUGCUACACCAACAAAAACAUUUUAUACCGCAACUGUGUUUCAAAAUAGCUGCAUGUUGUUUGGCUUAUCGCACAAAGCUCAAUAAGUCCAUAACGAGAUCACUUGAAGCUACCUGUAUCAUACUGGCAACAACAAGAAUAGUAAGUUGAUGUCACCGUCCCUUGACGGUUGCCGAAGGGAAAAACUUACUAAUAUCGCUACAGGAUUCUGGCGUAUCAGACUGAGCGUAGUCGUGUUAAAACCAGGGUGCAUUUCACGGUUUAAAUAAAUAAAUAAACACGGAAUACUGAAAUGUACAGAAAAUGCAAUUCUAAGCAAAAAAAAAAACAAAAAAACACUUGGUUGGAAGUUGACAAAGGGUUUUGACAAAUAAAAUAUGGUCUGAAGAUAGUGAAGUAUGAUAAUUUCAAAGAGAAUGUUUUAUUCUAUUGCACUGUACAUUGUGGAAUAAGCUACUGUAACUGAACAUGCCCCCAAAAUGUUUGAGAACAAGGAGGUAAUAAAUGGUAGAACAUUUUUAUUGUUAUUUAAUUAAUCUGAAAUAUUAAGUAGUGGGGGUAAUGUGUCAAAUGCAAACGAUGUUGCUUGACAAUUACGAUUCUGAUUACUGAAAUGUUUAUACAUACAGUUCUAUUUUCAGGAACUUUUGUAAAGGGCUUUUGAGCCCAACUUUUGUAGCAGUGUUACCAUAGAUGGCUUUCCUUCAAUCCUACAAGAAUAAUAGUAAAGAGCAUGUUACGGCUAUUUACAUAAGCUAUGUUUUUGUAUCAUUGCAGAAUUGUGGUUUUUAUUGCAGUUAUGAAAUUGUGUGUUUUUAUAUAUGUGCUAUCAGAUGCUAUUAGACUACCUAUCUUGUGAGAUCUGUGACAAUUUUAGAAAAUAAAAAUUUCUACAUCUUU